rnacentral:misc_RNA from 1 species
UACAAUCACAUAAAACAAAAAAAAAUUCUAAUACACCCCUAAUCUUCAAACUAAAUAAUCAACUUAGUGAAGAAUACACACUUGGGGAAAAAAAGUAAACAACAAUUGAACAAAUUAAAAUCAAUCCACUAUACAUCCAAAAAAAUUCAGAAGUAUAAAAAGUUCAGCUAUCAGCAGUCAUCUCCUUCAACAAACAAACUCAUAACUUAUAAGGCCUGUAACUAUAAUUGAAAUGGUGUCAACUAAAACCUGUCGCAAGAGCCGCAGCUAGGAUUUCUUUGGUGUUUGAAUGAAGUUUUUUGGUUACUGCUAAGGAUGAGGCAGACAUAAAAGUGAUGCAUUACAAGCUUAAAAAUCUGUCCUAGCAAGAAGUACACUUGUUUGCUUAUUGCAGAUAGCUA